rnacentral:rRNA from 1 species
GAGAGUUUGAUUAUGGCUCAGGAUGAACGCUGACAGAAUGCUUAACACAUGCAAGUCUACUUGAAUUUGGGUUUUUUAACUUCGAUUUGGGUGGCGGACGGGUGAGUAACGCGUAAAGAACUUGCCUCACAGCUAGGGACAACAUUUGGAAACGAAUGCUAAUACCUGAUAUUAUGAUUAUAGGGCAUCCUAGAAUUAUGAAAGCUAUAUGCGCUGUGAGAGAGCUUUGCGUCCCAUUAGCUAGUUGGAGAGGUAACGGCUCACCAAGGCGAUGAUGGGUAGCCGGCCUGAGAGGGUGAACGGCCACAAGGGGACUGAGACACGGCCCUUACUCCUACGGGAGGCAGCAGUGGGGAAUAUUGGACAAUGGACCGAGAGUCUGAUCCAGCAAUUCUGUGUGCACGAUGACGUUUUUCGGAAUGUAAAGUGCUUUCAGUUGGGAAGAAAAAAAUGACGGUACCAACUGAAGAAGUGACGGCUAAAUACGUGCCAGCAGCCGCGGUAAUACGUAUGUCACGAGCGUUAUCCGGAUUUAUUGGGCGUAAAGCGCGUCUAGGUGGUUAUGUAAGUCUGAUGUGAUAAUGCACGGCUCAACUCUGUAUUGCGUUGGAAACUGUGUAACUAGAGUACUGGAGAGGUAAGCGGAACUACAAGUGUAGAGGUGAAAUUCGUAGAUAUUUGUAGGAAUGCCGAUGGGGAAGCCAGCUUACUGGACGGAUACUGACGCUGAAGCGCGAAAGCGUGGGUUAGCAACAGGAUUAGAUACCCUGGUAGUCCACGCCGUAAACGAUGAUUACUAUGUAGUUGGGGGUCGUAGCCUCAGCGCCCAAGCUAACGCGAUAAGUAAUCCGCUUGGGGUAGUACGUACGCUAGCAUGAUACUCCAAAGGAAUGACGAGACCGCCACAUGCGGUGGAUCUUGUUGUUUAAUUCGACGCUACGCGAGAACCUAACCACGAUUGACAUCUUAGUAUUGAGAACGAAAUGUUCAUGUCCCUUCCGGGAAACUAAAGACGUGUGCAUGCUGUCUCAGCUCUGUCUUGAAAUGUCGGUUAGUCCUAACUAGCCCAUCCCUUUCGAUGGUACAUCAUUAGUUGGUACUCUUGCCAACUGCUUCAUUGACUAGAGGAGUGGGAUUGACCUAGGUAUGCGUUAACCUGCUACACGGCGUCUCAUAAUGGGUGAACAACACACAUGAGAGAAGAUGUACAUACGU